rnacentral:rRNA from 1 species
AUUGAACGCUGGCGGCAGGCCUAACACAUGCAAGUCGAGCGGAUGAAGGGAGCUUGCUCCUGGAUUCAGCGGCGGACGGGUGAGUAAUGCCUAGGAAUCUGCCUGGUAGUGGGGGAUAACGUCCGGAAACGGGCGCUAAUACCGCAUACGUCCUGAGGGAGAAAGUGGGGGAUCUUCGGACCUCACGCUAUCAGAUGAGCCUAGGUCGGAUUAGCUAGUUGGUGGGGUAAAGGCCUACCAAGGCGACGAUCCGUAACUGGUCUGAGAGGAUGAUCAGUCACGCUGGAACUGAGACACGGUCCAGACUCCUACGGGAGGCAGCAGUGGGGAAUAUUGGACAAUGGGCGAAAGCCUGAUCCAGCCAUGCCGCGUGUGUGAAGAAGGUCUUCGGAUUGUAAAGCACUUUAAGUUGGGAGGAAGGGCAGUAAGUUAGUACCUUGCUGUUUUGACGUUACCAACAGAAUAAGCACCGGCUAACUUCGUG